CCUACGGGUGGCAGCAGGGAGGAAGAGGGGGCAAGGGACGAGAGUCUGAACCAGCCAAGGAGCGUGAAGGAUGACUGCCCUAUGGGUUGUAAACUUCUUUUAUAUGGGAAUAAAAUUUACUAUGUGUGGUGUUUUGUAUGUACCAUAUGAAUAAGGAUCGGCUAACUCCGUGCCAGCAGCCGCGGUAAUACGGAGGAUCCGAGCGUUAUCCGGAUUUAUUGGGUUUAAAGGGAGCGUAGGUGGAUUGUUAAGUCAGUUGUGAAAGUUUGCGGCUCAACCGUAAAAUUGCAGUUGAUACUGGCAGUCUUGAGUACAGCAGAGGUGGGCGGAAUUCGUGGUGUAGCGGUGAAAUGCUUAGAUAUCACGAAGAACUCCGAUUGCGAAGGCAGCUUACUGGACUGCAACUGACGCUGAGGCUCGAAAGUGUGGGUAUCAAACAGGAUUAGAUACCCUUGUAGUC
rnacentral:rRNA from 1 species